UCCAGUUGGGGCUCCCGAGUGGCGCAGCGGUAUAAGGCAUUGCAUAUCACUGCAGUCCCUGGUUCGAAUUCAGGCUGCAUGAUUGGGAGUCCCAUAGGGCGGCACACAAUUGGCCCAGCGUCGUCCGGAUUUGGCCGGGGAAGGCCGUCAUUGUACGAUGGACAAAGCAAAAAGGUCAAACCCCUCUCUUCCAGUUGGCCUUCCAAGAGCAGCUGGUGUUGGAAAUGGCUGAAUUGGAGGCCCAAAGCAACCUCACACCAAUCACAAGGCCCCCCACUCAAGGAUGUGAAACAAUGAGGACAGAACAGCAGCACCUGGAAGUGCACUGCUGACUUGCACACCAGGUUGGACUGAAGAAGAGAAUUUGUUCUCAAAUAGAUACACGACAUGCAUCUUAUAACAAUGAAACUAUUUUGUAGCCUGUUGCUGUAGAUGGGCUGUGUUUUGGUUAGCCAGCCCUGUGACACAGUACCAGUGCACGUUGACCUCUACUUGUCUGUAUGGCCA